AUUGAACGCUGGCGGCAGGCUUAACACAUGUAAGUCGAGCGAGCGGCGGACGGGUGAGUAAUGUCUGGGAAACUGCCUGAUGGAGGGGGAUAACUACUGGAAACGGUAGCUAAUACCGCAUACCAUCAGAUGUGCCCAGAUGGGAUUAGCUAGUAGGUGGGGUAAUGGCUCACCUAGGCGACGAUCCCUAGCUGGUCUGAGAGGGUGACAGGCCAAACUGGAACUGAGAUACGGGCCAGAUUCCUACGGGGGGCAGCAGUGGGGAAGAUUGGACAAUGGGCGCAAGCCUGAUGCAGCCAUGCCGCGUGUGUGAAGAAGGCCUUCGGGUUGUAAAGCACUUUCAGCGAGGAGGCGUUACUCGCAGAAGAAGCACCGGCUAACUCCGUGUCAGCAGCCGCGGUAAUAC
rnacentral:rRNA from 1 species